CUGUUUUGUUUUGAUCGACAUCGACAAGGUGAUUCUAGGGUUUGGAUUUUGGCUCGAUAGUUUUAUAUGUUAAAGCUAUUGACUUGUUUGGUUUCAAAAUUUUAAAAAUCACUUUCUACUGCAUGGCCAGAACCCAACACUUUUGAGGUUGAAGAUAAGUCAAUGGAGAUUGCUGGAUGUUGUAAGAAAAUCAGAGAAAAUAAUUUUUCUCUGAUCUUAACUCUCUCUACCAAAAACCCUAACACUUAGGGCUAGUCCACUCACCAAAGAAGAGAUGAUUCUCUUCUAAUCUCUCAUGCCAAAGGAUGGCUACCCACCCC
rnacentral:lncRNA from 1 species